CCAAUAGCGUAUAUUAAAGUUGUUGCAGUUAAAAAGCUCGUAGUUGAAUUUCGAGACCGGUUUACUGGUCGUGCUUUUGUGCGUACUGGUAUUAUUGGUUUCUCCUUUCUGACGAAUCAUAAUGCCAUUAAUUUGGUGUUUUGGGGAAUCAGGACUGUUACUUUGAAAAAAUUAGAGUGUUUAAAGCAGGCUCACGUUUGAAUACAUUAGCAUGGAAUAACGAAAUAGGACGUUUGAUUUUAUUUUGUUGGUUUCUAGGAUCGACGUAAUGAUUAAUAGGGAUAGUUGGGGGCAUUAGUAUUCAAUUGUCAGAGGUGAAAUUCUUGGAUUUAUUGAAGACUAACUACUGCGAAAGCAUUUGCCAAGGAUGUUUUCAUUAAUCAAGAACGAAAGUUAGGGGAUCGAAGACGAUCAGAUACCGUCGUAGUCUUAACCAUAAACUAUGCCGACUAGGGAUCGGAUGAUGUUAAUUUUUUAAUGACUCAUUCGGCGCCUUACG
rnacentral:rRNA from 1 species